CGACCACGAGACCGAUAGCGGACAAGUACCGUGAGGGAAAGUUGAAAAGAACUUUGAAGAGAGAGUUCAACAGUACGUGAAACCGUUCGGGGGUAAACGGACAGAGCCCGUGAAUCCGGGCGACGGAAUUCAGAAUCGACAACAACGUUGUCGGUUUGAUAUUUCCGUCGCCGUACGGACGUCGCGACCCGUUCGGUGUCGGUCUGAGGAGACGUGUAAAAGUUCGCCGACGUUGCGUCCAUUCGGGUGCGCGUCGACGAGUGCGCGUUCUUGUUUUCUGGCCGACUCGCCGGACGGUACGCGUAACGGUGGCCGCGACGAUCUUUCGAGCGUCGUCGUCGGUGCCGGUCUGCGACGAAUCUUCGGGCCUCUUUCCGACCCGUCUUGAAACACGGACCAAGGAGUCUAACGUGCGCGCGAGUCGCGGGGUGUCGAGCGGUUGGCGGCGUUCCUUGUGGGCGUCGUCGGCCGUUCGUUACAAUACGAAACCCGUCUCGUUUUACGAAAGGCGCAAUGAAAGUGAAUUUUUUUGGGGAAGAUGACGUUACCGAGUUCACGUUUCGCGCUCUUGUAGCGCGGCCGGUCGUCCGCAUUCCCAGGGCGUCUCAACGGCCCGGCGGCGUUGCGGAUCGUCGUUCCUUCGGGGGCGGUGGUCGGGCGUCGUCGAACCGAGGCGCACCUAUAGCGUGCACGUUGGUACCCGAAAGAUGGUGAACUAUGCCCGGCCAGGAUGAAGUCAGGGGAAACCCUGAUGGAGGUCCGCAGCGAUUCUGACGUGCAAAUCGAUCGUCUGAGCUGGGUAUAGGGGCGAAAGACUAAUCGAACCAUCUAGUAGCUGGUUCCCUCCGAAGUUUCCCUCAGGAUAGCUGGCGUCGGAAUACGAAUCGACGAAGCGUUUUCGAACGUUUCGCUCGUCGGGUCGUCUCAUCCGGUAAAGCGAAUGAUUAGAGGCAUUGGGGCCGAAACGACCUCAACCUAUUCUCAAACUAUAAACGGGCGAGAUCGCAGGCUUUCCUGAUAAGUUGCGCGUUUCGGCGCGCGACAAAGCGAGAGAGUCCGGCCGCGCGGCGCGUCGUUUCGGCGGCGCGUGCGGUGCGGUUCGGGCGCGAAGCCUGCGACGGAACCCUUGACGCUCAGUGGGCCAUUUUUGGUAAGCAGAACUGGCGCUGCGGGAUGAACCGAACGCCGAGUUAAGGCGCCGAAAUCGACGCGAAUUUCAGAGCCCAUGAAAGGCGUUGGUCGCUGAUGACAGCAGGACGGUGGCCAUGGAAGUCGGAAUCCGCUAAGGAGUGUGUAACUACUCACCUGCCGAAGCAACUAGCUCUGAAAAUGGAUGGCGCUGGAGCGUCGUGCCUAUACUCGGCCGUCAGAGGCAGCGUGGGCUUCGGUCUUCGCGCCGAAGACCCGGUACGCCCUGACGAGUAGGAGGGCGCGGCGGUGCGCGCAGAAGGGGAGGGCGUGAGCCUGCCUGGAGCCGCCGUCGGUGCAGAUCUUGGUGGUAGUAGCAAAUACUCGAGAGGGGCCCUCGGGGGCUGCCGUGGAGAAGGGUUUCUUGUGAACAGCCGUUGUCCAAGAGUCAGUCGAUCCUAAGCCCGGGGAGAAAUCCUACACUCAACGACGAUGACGAGAAGAACUCUCGCGUCGCACUCGUGCACAGCCGGGCUGAGUCUCGCGUGUCGAUCCGUGCCGGAGCCCAAUCGAGACGAUUCUGUGCGAUUGCGAUGGCCCGAUCGCGCCGCGUCGUCGUACACACUGUGCGUGUGCUGCGACGGCUCGCGGUCUGUCGAUCGGCGAGUCAUCACGUGCGUGUACACGCUCUCUGUCGUUGUUAUUUAUAGCGCGAUAGUGUGUGUGUGUGCGCGUACGGGUUCCCCGAGCACGAAAGUGCGGAUCGAACGUUUGUGUGCGUUGUUGCUGCGGCGCCGAGAAUAAAGUUUCGACUCGAUCGUGUUUUGGGGCGAAAGGGAAUCCGGUCCGUAUUCCGGAACCCGGCGCGGAACCGCUCCCUAGUGUUCGGGGCCCUUAAACGCGCAGCGUUACUUCGGUAUCGCUGUCGUGUGCCUCGUCCGGGUAACCGAAAUGAACCCGGAGACGUCGCCGGAGGGUCCGGGAAGAGUUCUCUUUUCUCUGUGAGCGUUGUACGUCCCUGGAAUCCGCUAGCCGGGAGAUAGGGACGCGAGCGCGAAGAGCACCGCUCGCUGCGGCGGUGUCCGUGAUCCUCACGCGAACCUUGAAAAUCCGGGAGAGGGCCACGCGGAGUCUUCGCGCCGGUUCGUACCGAUAUCCGCAGCAGGUCUCCGAGGUGAGCAGCCUCUAGCCGCAUAGAAUAAUGUAGGUAAGGGAAGUCGGCAAAAUCGAUCCGUAACUUCGGGAUAAGGAUUGGCUCUGAGGAGCGUGGCGGCUCGGGUUCGGUCUGCGCAGAAGCGGAGACGGGAAAGACGGCGCCCUGUCGUUCGACGUCCGCCUUUCGAGGUGGUCGCUGGGCGGCGUGGGAUGUCUGUCGCCCGGCUUCCGUGGAACCUCCGAACUUUGCGUGACGGCGAAUCCGCGCGUCGUCGUCGUCGACACGUGGGCAACUGCGUUGUACGGUGUGCGACGGCGUUCGGGCUCUCGCCGUCGAUGCUAAUCGACUGCCAAGUAACGGUCAGCUCAGAACUGGCACGGACCAGGGGAAUCCGACUGUCUAAUUAAAACAAAGCAUCGUGAUGGCCCUCGCGGGUGUUGACACGAUGUGAUUUCUGCCCAGUGCUCUGAAUGUCAACGUGAAGAAAUUCAAGCAAGCGCGGGUAAACGGCAGGAGUAACUAUGACUCUUUUAAGGUAGCCAAAUGCCUCGUCAUCUAAUUAGUGACGCGCAUGAAUGGAUUAACGAGAUUCUCUCUGUCCCUAUCUACUUU
rnacentral:rRNA from 1 species